rnacentral:rRNA from 1 species
AUGGAGCGUUUCUCCCACACCGACCCGUCCAGAAGGCCGCGCGAGAGCAACAAGAUGGUGGUCUCCUCCCCGGCCAUCGAGCACGUGGAGUACAUCCUGCGCCAGCAUGCGGUGACCCUCACCGCGGCAGACAGAGCGCACGCCACGACUCCCAUGGCGGUGGGCAAGGCCCUUGACGAGCAGCUCCGCACCCCUCCGCACCAGCUCCGGGUCACGGCGCACCACCAGGAGGCCUUCCUGGUGCACUUCGGCCUGCCGGCGCACCGUGACAACGCCGUCCGUCGUGGAGUCCUCAAGGUCGACGACGACAAGUACUUCAUCCGUGCGUGGCACCCUAAUGAUCACGCGGCCAUCCUCAAGCUCUCGCUCCACGUCCGCAUCGUCGUCGAGAACCUCCCCAUGCAGUUCUGGAGCCUGGAGGGGGUGGAUGAGGCUUUCGGCGACUUCAGCCGCAUCGAUCGCCUCGACAGCCGCACGAACGAACGCGGCCACACCAAAACGUUCGCGUGCUGGCUGUGGGGGUGGGACGUCGCGCACAUCCCGACGAAGAGGGCGCUGUGGGUGCUGAAGCGCGGCGCUGGCCGCGUCGACCAGAUCCUUGGUUUCUCCCCGCCGGACUUCAGCGUGCCUCCACCGCCAAACGUCCACCGCUACGACCUCCUCAUCCACGUCGACAGGGUGGAGGACUAG